rnacentral:rRNA from 1 species
UUUAAAGGGUCCGCAGGCGGCCUGUUAAGUCAGAGGUGAAAUCCUACAGCUCAACUGUAGAACUGCCUUUGAUACUGAUAGGCUUGAGUUAUCGUGAAGUGGUUAGAAUGUGUGGUGUAGCGGUGAAAUGCUUAGAUAUCACACAGAAUACCCAUUGCGAAGGCAGAUCACUAACAAUAUACUGACGCUCAUGGACGAAAGCGUGGGUAGCGAACGGGAUUAGAUACCCUGGUAGUCCACGCCGUAAACGAUGGUUACUAGCUGUUUGGACCUUGUGUCUGAGUGGCUAAGCGAAAGUGAUAAGUAACCCACCUGGGGAGUACGUUCGCAAGAAUGAAACUCAAAGGAAUUGACGGGGGCCCGCACAAGCGGUGGAGCAUGUGGUUUAAUUCGAUGAUACGCGAGGAACCUUACCAGGGCUUAAAUGUAAGUUGCAUUAGUUAGAGAUAGCUAUUUCUUCGGACCACUUACAAGGUGCUGCAUGGUU